CCACCCUUAUUCUCCUCAUCUCUCUCUCUCCUCCACCGCUCUGUUGCAUUCAGGUAUUCCCAUCACAUACGCCCACACUUAACUCGAUUUUGCAAUACCAACAUAGUGCUUACCAGCCGCCUCCACUCACCCUUUUUUCUUUCGUGUCUUCUCAGAUUCCCUUGCCCUUCCCUUGAGGGCUGUCUGGAGAUUCCACACCUCAGAGCAGUAAGACGCAUGUGGGCACUGCAGCGUGGGCUAGGCCUUUAUCAGCUCAGCCUGUCAACAUUUUCUUUGAUGUAGGGCAGAAGGGAAAAAGUGAUGGGAUAUCAGGAAAGUUAUUAAGGACAUGAAAUUCAGAUUGUGAGACAGGGAGAGAAUAAAAGUGAAGGAUCCAGAAAGCUAACUGUGGGCAGGUGGUGUUGAACAGGGACUGUCCCUUCAUCUGUUGGUGGCUGUUUCUCCCUCAUCAAUUGCCAUCAUGUUUAAUCACCACUGCAGUGGCGCAAACACAGCCAGCCGUGCCUCCUCUGUCAUCCUGGUGCGGGGGAGAGAGGAAAUCCUAUUUACUCCAGUGCAGGAGGGGCUACGGCUCAACACGCUCGUUUUUACAAGCUCAGAUAGGGGAAAUAACAGAGAAAAGAGGCACAAGCAUUGGGAAUAGCCACUACAACAGUUUGGAAUGUCCUGAAAGAGUGCAAAACCACUGGUGUACUAGCAACAAGACAUGGAACCAGUCGCCCAAGGUAAAGAACAGCAGUUGAUGACAGAAACAUUGAGAAAGCUGUGAAGAAAAGUCCAAAAACAACAGUCAGGAACAACAUCCACAGGGCAGGUGUCAAGGUAUCACAAUCCACCGUUCUAAGAAGACUUCGAGAGCGCAAAUAUAGACGCCAUACCACACAGACUGAAGAGGUUUUAAAAAGCUGCUUUAUUGUUUUUGCUGUGGAUAUUUUUGUUUAUUAGGCUACUAGUUAAGACCUUAGGCCUUGAUCACAUCUGGUAUUCACAUCCUUCUCGAGUGAUUCGCUCACAAGUGGACAGCCGAAAC
ensembl:lncRNA